GCAGCAUGGCAGCACGUGCUGCUUCCUCACCAAACACCUUCCCUUGCUGUGACACCCUCCCGAGCGUCAGCCGUGGGAUGGAUCUACCAGCUUUCACCAGGGCCGGGGCUGGCUUGCAUUCAGCAAUGUCCCACUGCAUUGCAAGCAAACAGAUGACAUUUCCUGGGCUUGCAAAGAGUUGGAACAGAUCAGAAACUUCAGGAUUCAAGAUGUUCUGCUCUCGUUGUGAACAGCGCGUGCUGCUAUAUUGGCAGAAAUGAUCUCAUGUUUUGUCUAAUCUAAAUUCUGUCAAGCAAGCAGGGAGAAGGAAAAAAAAAGAGAUGGAAAGCAAGCAAGAGAAGGCUACGCAGCUAAUAAAAAUCUGCGAGACA